CAUUCCACUUCCAAUAUGGAGACUUUCCAACUACAACCUUUUCCUUAAUUAAAUCUCCCUUAAUAAUUCUUUGACCUUCAUCAUGAGUUCUGAUCCCUUGACUUCACUAAUGUCUCACUACUCAUGAGAUUCACUUUUAUAUUCCUUCUUUCUUACCUUCAUUUUCAUCAUCCAUUACUAUAAUCACUCUCUUGCUCUGUCUCCUCCAAUUGUGUUGGCUUCUUUGUCUCCCUCUAUCUCCCCGUCCGCCACUCACACUCUGUCUCUCUCUCUCAAAUAAACAUUAAAACAAAAUCAAUACCUCAAAGUAACCAAUCAGGUAAUAAGAGAAAAAGGAAUAAUAGAACAUCACCAUUUUGUAAACCCUCAAUGAGAUCAAGAUCAUCAAUAGCUCUAAUGUUACAAAGGAGAGACGCUUGAAGGUUAUGUGCCUCCUGAUGAAAAGACACAGCACCACCUAUGGAGUAUUCUUGAUGAAAACCUGAACCUGAAUCAAAGCAAGCCUUUAUAUCUAACAACCGUUUACAGAAAAUGAAAGGAGAUAGAGGAAAUGGUUAAAUGUCACCAUAGGAAUGCAAUCAGCAAAAUCCUGAAUAGGAAAUUUCUGAAGGACAAAAAUCUCUAUUUCUUCACCAAAAAGGGGUGAUAAAGAAGUGGAGAGGGAAGAUCUGUAGAUUAUAAUAGAUUUAAGAGAGUUGUCCAUCAAGUGUAACAUUAGCUCUUUGAGGAUGGUGCCAUAUAGGCCAUAUGACAUGAUAUAUGACAAUCACAUGACAACCCGACAUCACUAUUAAGUGAUGAUAUCACUAUUAACCUCACAUGCCCACACCCUUGAUUCCACCUCCCCCCUCAAACCUUGUCCCUCCCCAGGCUUGCCCAUGUUUCCCAUCUUCACAAAUGGCCCCACCACCAUCUGGUUGCUCAGGGCUAUGCCAACACUGCCUUUGGAAAUCGUAGAAGGUUUACAGAAAGACAUUGCCCAGGAGUCAGAAAACCUGAGAGUCCCAGUUUUCUCCCUUUUACUGGUUGUUGCUCUUGGGCAAUGCACACGCGCUCUUUGUGCCUGAGCUUCUCACCUACAAUCUGGGAGUUUGGGAGUGGGCUUUUGAGCACUCUUCCCUGCUCUCAAGACUUUAGGCUCCCAAGUGGCCCCUUGCAUAUGGCAGAGCUACACAGGGACAGAAAUCGCUGAAGGAGGGAAGCCAAAUGUCAGGGGAAGGAGACUGGGAUUCAGGACUCAUCUCAUCCAUCAGGAGAAAGGGCCUGAGGAUUGGCCUGUUGUCCUCUAUCCGGACUUGCUUUCACCUCUGGAAAAAAACUUCAGGAAAAGUGACCCCUCCUUCCCACCCAUACCCACUGACCAAAAUUUCCAUCAAAGCCUAGUUUCUGCCCCUCAUGCCAGGAAUCAUACCCAAGUGGAAGCACAGACAUCCCUGGCUACCAUACAGCAAGGAAGGGGCCAACCCAGGAAAGGGGUGAAAGGUGAUGUCAGCUGUCUGAAGUUUCCCAGGGAUGGUGAGAAGUCACAAGACAAAGCCCUUUGAGAAAUAGUCACCAGUCUAUGUUCCCACUGGGCUGUGCCCUGGGAGAGGCACAAGAACCCGCCCCAACGCCUGAGAGAGGGACACUGGAGGCCUAAGACCAACUCCCUGAAGUCUUGACUUCUAGUGAAUCUACAUUGGCUGACUUCCCCGGAUUUAUGAGGAUGCUUCUGGAAUCUUCUGCAAAGCUUCCAGCUUCCUGGCAGAACUCCAUUACUAGAGGGAUGUUGGAAAGCAGGUGUUCUCUCAUGCAGCACCCUGCAAAAUGUGCAUGUGAAUACACAGAAGCACACCUGAAGGAGCUAACACCAAACUGAAAACCAAGGUCACCUCUGGGGAGGUGAGGAGGAGACCAGAAAUGGAGGUCAGCUGGGGGUUCUGAUCCAUGCCAUCAUCAUUCAGGGAUCUAGACCUCAUCAUCUGAAAUGUCAUUGGUCACCAUGGCAGAGAGAAGGAUCACAAUCAAGAUGACAGAAAUAAAAGCUCUUUCCAUCCCACUCUCUUUGACCCAACAGGGAUCAGCGUCUUGAGACUCCACUUCUGAAAAGCUGUAUGUAAUGAUGAGCCAUUAAAGGCUCUUGAAACAUC